UGGGGAAUAUUGCACAAUGGGCGCAAGCCUGAUGCAGCCAUGCCGCGUGUGUGAAGAAGGCCUUCGGGUUGUAAAGCACUUUCAGCGGGGAGGAAGGCGUUAAGGUUAAUAACCUUGGCGAUUGACGUUAACCGCAGAAGAAGCACCGGCUAACUCCGUGCCAGCAGCCGCGGUAAUACGGAGGGUGCAAGCGUUAAUCGGAAUUACUGGGCGUAAAGCGCACGCAGGCGGUCUGUCAAGUCGGAUGUGAAAUCCCCGGGCUCAACUUGGGAACUGCAUUCGAAACUGGCAGGCUAGAGUCUUGUAGAGAGAGGUAGAAUUCCAGGUGUAGCGGUGAAAUGCGUGGGGAGCUGGAGGAAGACCGGUGGCGAAGGCGGCCCCCUGGACAAAGACUGACGCUCAGGUGCGAAAGCGUGGGGAGCAAACAGG
rnacentral:rRNA from 1 species